AUGAAACACCUGUUCUAAUAAGGUCUACGAAGUUAAGCAAAGUCGAGCCUGGUCAGUACUUAGAUGAGGGACCGCUUGGGGAUAUCACGUGCUGUAAG